rnacentral:lncRNA from 1 species
CCAUUAAAAUAUAUGUUCAAAAUGCUAGCCCUGAUUGCAUGCGUGUAUUUACAUAAAUUUUUUGUGCUUAAUUCAAAUGCAUCGGAUAUUGACAAUUUUUGAAAGGAGGGGGAUCUGGGUCGUUCAGCAUUUUAUUUUGAUAUAUUGUGAAGCAUACAUAAUAUUGUAUACAGAAUAUCUAGUUAAUUUCAAUGAGAUUUAUUAAGAUCUUAAACAGAAAAAAAAUUCUUUAUAUUUUUUUGUUGUAUCUUCAGAAAGUAAAUUUUCA